rnacentral:rRNA from 1 species
GUGGGGAAUAUUGGACAAUGGGCGAAAGCCUGAUCCAGCCAUGCCGCGUGUGUGAAGAAGGUCUUCGGAUUGUAAAGCACUUUAAGUUGGGAGGAAGGGCAUUAACCUAAUACGUUAGUGUUUUGACGUUACCGACAGAAUAAGCACCGGCUAACUUCGUGCCAGCAGCCGCGGUAAUACGAAGGGUGCAAGCGUUAAUCGGAAUUACUGGGCGUAAAGCGCGCGUAGGUGGUUUUGUAAGUUGGAGGUGAAAUCCCCGGGCUCAACCUGGGAACUGCCUCCAAAACUGCAUGACUAGAGUACGGUAGAGGGUAGUGGAAGUUCCUGUGUAGCGGUGAAAUGCGUAGAUAUAGGAAGGAACACCAGUGGCGAAGGCGACUACCUGGACUGAUACUGACACUGAGGUGCGAAAGCGUGGGGAGCAAACAGGAUUAGAUACCCCGGUAGUCC